AGAGUUUGAUCCUGGCUCAGGAUGAACGCUAGCGACAGGCUUAACACAUGCAAGUCGAGGGGCAGCGGGGGCGUAGCAAUAUGCCUGCCGGCGACCGGCGCACGGGUGAGUAACACGUAUGUAACCUGCCCUAUGCAGGGGGAUAACCCGGAGAAAUCCGGCCUAAUACCGCGUAACACCUUAGGGGAGCAUUCUCUUGAGGUUAAAGGAGAGAUCCGGCAUAGGAUGGACAUGCGUCGCAUUAGGUAGACGGCGGGGUAACGGCCCACCGUGCCGACGAUGCGUAGGGGUUCUGAGAGGAAGGCCCCCCACACUGGUACUGAGACACGGACCAGACUCCUACGGGAGGCAGCAGUGAGGAAUAUUGGUCAAUGGCCGAAAGGCUGAACCAGCCAAGUCGCGUGAGGGAAGAAUGUCCUAAGGAUUGUAAACCUCUUUUGUCGGGGAGCAAAAAGGCUCUGCGGAGUCGUAUUGAGAGUACCCGAAGAAAAAGCAUCGGCUAACUCCGUGACAGCAGCCGCGGUAAUACGGAGGAUGCGAGCGUUAUCCGGAUUUAUUGGGUUUAAAGGGUGCGCAGGCGGCGUGUCAAGCAAGCGGUAAAAUAGCGGGGCUCAACCCCGUCGAGCCGUUUGAACUGGCGCGCUUGAGUUCAGGCGAGGUAGGCGGAAUUCGUGGUGUAGCGGUGAAAUGCAUAGAUAUCACGAAGAACUCCGAUUGCGAAGGCAGCUUACCAGUCUGCGACUGACGCUCAGGCACGAAAGUGUGGGUAUCGAACAGGAUUAGAUACCCUGGUAGUCCACACAGUAAACGAUGAGCGCUAGGUGUCCGGGUCGCAUGAGACUUGGGUGCCCGAGCGAAAGCGUUAAGCGCUCCACCUGGGGAGUACGCCGGCAACGGUGAAACUCAAAGGAAUUGACGGGGGCCCGCACAAGCGGAGGAACAUGUGGUUUAAUUCGAUGAUACGCGAGGAACCUUACCCGGGCUCAAACGACUCAGGAAUAUAUUGGAAACGAUGUAGCCAGCAAUGGUCUGAGUCGAGGUGCUGCAUGGUUGUCGUCAGCUCGUGCCGUGAGGUGUCGGCUUAAGUGCCAUAACGAGCGCAACCCCUACCGCCAGUUGCCAACGGGUAAAGCCGGGAACUCUGGCGGGACUGCCGGCGCAAGCUGUGAGGAAGGCGGGGAUGACGUCAAAUCAGCACGGCCCUUACGUCCGGGGCGACACACGUGUUACAAUGGCAGGUACAGCGGGAAGCCACCUGGUGACAGGGAGCGGAACCCGAAAGCCUGUCUCAGUUCGGAUUGGAGUCUGCAACUCGACUCCAUGAAGCUGGAUUCGCUAGUAAUCGCGCAUCAGCCAUGGCGCGGUGAAUACGUUCCCGGGCCUUGCACACACCGCCCGUCA
rnacentral:rRNA from 1 species